CAGGACUCAGCCAAAUAUGAAGAUCCUUGUCUUUGCCUUUAUCAUGGCUCUCAUGGUUGCCAUGAUCGGAGCUGAUUCAUCUGAAGAGGCUUGGUGGAAAGUCCUAUUUGCUGUCUUUCCUGAUGAUUCUUCCUAUUCAAAAGUCCUUUACCCACCUAGCAAAAUUUUGUAGCCCGGGUAUAAUGAAUACACCCAAAGUACUUUUAAAAUCAUGUGAAAAGUAAUUAAAACACUACAGUUUUACUUUUAUUAUGGUAUGUAGUAUAUCAGAAUUUAAAAAUAAUGGAGCCAUCAGUAAAUUCUGGCUUUUCAAAAUAAAAAAGAAGUCCAAUCAAAUAGUGUUACAAGAGCAACACGACCUGAGAUCAAUGUUCAAUAUUUUUAAAGCAAAAGUAAUGGUAGUCUCUGAACUCUUUGAAAUUUCCCUUUUUCUUUCUGUGUUAAUUGCAUUAUAAAAUUGGUCUAAAAACUCAUCACCCAUAAUAAAUUGAUUGAUCAAGCA